UGGGGAAUUUUGCGCAAUGGGGGAAACCCUGACGCAGCAAUGCCGCGUGGAGGACGAAGGUCUUCGGAUCGUAAACUCCUUUUGUAGGGGAAAAAACGCCACGUGAAGAACGUGGAUUGAUGGUACCCUGCGAAUAAGCCACGGCUAACUUCGUGCCAGCAGCCGCGGUAAGACGAAGGUGGCGAGCGUUACUCGGAAUUACUAGGCGUAAAGCGUGGGUAGGUGGUUCGGCAAGUCUGUUGUGAAAGCUCCUGGCUUAACCGGGAGAGGCCAAUGGAUACUACCGGACUUGAAUGCAGGAGAGGUCACUGGAAUUCCCGGUGUAGCGGUGAAAUGCGUAGAGAUCGGGAGGAACACCGAUGGCGAAAGCAGGUGACUGGACUGCUAUUGACACUGAGCCACGAAAGCUAGGGGAGCAAA
rnacentral:rRNA from 1 species